GGCUUCGGUGCCUCCUCCUUAUGCUUGGCUGGCAAUAAAAACUGCACAGUGACCAUCUUUCCCCCUGGAAGCACCCACAGUCACUGAAAGAGUUUAUUUAGCACUGUAACUGUUGUAUGUUAUUACUAUUAAUGACCAAUUAUAUACACAUACAACUGAUAGAUUUGCAUGUACAGUAGUUAACUAAUGAGCUUAUCAUGAUCUAGUUAGUUGCAUACAGUUACAUAGGAUCGACA
rnacentral:misc_RNA from 1 species